ACAAGUGGAAAGAACUGCAGCCGGAGCCCUUCGCUGCCUUGCUCUGGACAUAAGCAGCCCUUUUCAUCACGGAAGGGAAGCCCGGAGAUGAGAGGGUUCCAGGGUUCCGAAGAGCCAAGAGCCAGCACAGAAGAGGCUGAAGAGGAGCAAGGGCAGGGCAGGGACCUCCAGCGGCAAUCCGAGAGCCCCAGACCGCCCCCCUCCUGGGACAAGGCAGCCCCUUCGCCAGGACUCUGAUUCUCUGCCCCAGCCCUGGCCCAGCUGGUCUGCGUCCGUCGUCCUUGAGAGCUGCAGCCAACAUGACCACGCCUCUGCUCUGCACAGUGGGCACUGUCGCCAGUGAGGGCAGAACACACACACAGUGGAUGUUUUCUUGCCUUCUUUGAGAACAUGUCUUGGAUGCUACCAUUUCUGGAAGGCCCCUCAACAACAACAAUGGUGAAGAUGGCUUGUAUUGGGCGAGUGUUCUAGAAGUUUACAACAGGGCUACUACCCUCUUCUUGAGUACAGGCUGCAGGGACCACACCUACAGGGAAGGCAACAAGGAAUGGAGAUGGAGCCCUGCUGAGGCCUAAGAUGUGCAUGAGUCCCCCCGAGCUUCCCCGAAGUCUGCCUCGCUUAGACUGAAGCUGAGGCACGGAUAGGGCAGCUGUCCACAGCAUCAUGAGGAAGAUCACUGCCUCCA